GUGCAUUCCAUGUGAGAUUUCUCCGAUAUCAAUUAGUAAAUAUUGGGAGUGACAGAAUACCUUAGAGUAUAUGUAGCAAUUCUUCAGAGUCUCUCGCCUCUAGCACUUUUUAGGUGAGGUCUCAUAUAAAUAUAUAUCUAGUACUUACAUGUUUCAAAUUCUUGGAUCCUCCCUAAUGCUCCAUUUGCUACUCCACCUAAUGAUCCACAUGUUCCAUCAUCUUCUUCGCGAGUCACUAGAGCAUAUGAGCUUUUACAUAAGAUCAUACAUAUAGUAAAUCUAGAUGGUGAAGUCCAUAAUAUAUUAUGUGAGUUAUUCUACCUGUUACAUGGAGACCAUUAAUAUAUUGCACUAAUAUUUGAUAUUAUUUUGGAGUUUUGUUUUGUUGUAUGAUUGUUGUUUUAUUUUGUAUAAUGGAUAUAAUUCUUUAUGUGUUUUAUGUUUAUUCUCGAUAAAUUAUGCGGCUACUAUUUUAUUUCUCCAAAAUAAACAAACAACAGACAAAAAAAUUUCACAAUUUUUUAUGGAUAAACUAAAGUAGAUUUAUAGAAAUAUCAAUUCAACCAGUG
rnacentral:lncRNA from 1 species